rnacentral:snRNA from 1 species
GUGCUUGCUUCGGCAGCAGAUAUGCUAAAAUUGGUACCAUACAGAGAUUAGUGUGGUCCCUGUGCAAGGAUGACAUGCAAAUUCAUGAAGUGUAAAAAAAAAUU